CCUACGGGAGGCAGCAGUGGGGAAUAUUGCACAAUGGGGGAAACCCUGAUGCAGCAACGCCGCGUGGAGGAUGACACAUUUCGGUGCGUAAACUCCUUUUAUAAGAGAAGAUAAUGACGGUAUCUUAUGAAUAGGCACCGGCUAACUCCGUGCCAGCAGCCGCGGUAAU
rnacentral:rRNA from 1 species